rnacentral:rRNA from 1 species
GUGCCAGCAGCCGCGGUAAUACCGGCAGCCCGAGUGAUGGCCGAUCUUAUUGGGCCUAAAGCGUCCGUAGCUGGCCGCGCAAGUCCGUCGGGAAAUCCACCCGCCCAACGAGUGGGCGUCCGGCGGAAACUGCACAGCUUGGGACCGGAAGGCUCGAAGGGUACGUACGGGGUAGGAGUGAAAUCCCAUAAUCCCGCACGGGCCGCCGAUGGCGAAAGCACUUCGAGAAGACGGAUCCGACAGUGAGGGACGAAAGCCAGGGUCUCCAACCGGAUUAGAAACCCUGGUAGUCC